rnacentral:lncRNA from 1 species
AGCCAACAGUGCUAAUUCAGAUCACUUAGACUGCCCAAUUCUACAGCAGUAGCCAAGAUGGCAACAAAUGCACAAGUCAGAGCCAUCAACCAAGGAAUAGUUUAAGCAGAGUUAUUCAGUCAGGAAUUUCCACAGGUGACACUCAUCUAGGCUCAUUAUCCUCCCCAAUACCUUUAUCAUUCAUUCAAUUAUGUAAGGGCCAUAAUGAUGUUAAUAAUAUUUUGCCCUUUUUCACUCUGCGAGAUUUCUCUGUAGAUAGCUUCAAUUACUCAAGUCACCUGGAUGAGAAAUCCCUGCCAUUUCACACCUGUACCCCUCAGCUUGCAUUACCAGUGAUUCGACUGACUGCUAUAAUGACUGAAUUCAAGCCACACAGAACAAGCGGACUAGAGAUCACCCCUGCCUGCCAGUUCACCAGCAUUAGAAACUGACUGGGACCCAGUCCCCAGAAAACUGUGACUGACAUUAAACAGCUCUGAUGUGCCCAGAAGGUCAAAGAGGUUCAAUCCAUCUGAGUCCAGCAGUGGGACCGGAAGGCCAUCAGGUCAACUUUGUGUUUGUGCAAAUGCAACAUAGGCUGAUGACUAAACUCAUCUUGGGUAGCACAGACUGUCAUAUGGAUUGAUCAGGGAGCACAUCUGAGCUGUGAUGGGCAACAAUUCAAACCAGCAUGGCCAGCUAGUCUGUUCAGACUUGUGUGAACAA